rnacentral:rRNA from 1 species
UACGGAGGGUGCAAGCGUUGUUCGGAUUUAUUGGGCGUAAAGCGCGUGUAGGCGGUUUCUUAAGUCUGAUGUGAAAGCCCUGGGCUCAACCCAGGAAGUGCAUUGGAUACUGGGAGACUUGAAUACGGGAGAGGGUAGUGGAAUUCCUAGUGUAGGAGUGAAAUCCGUAGAUAUUAGGAGGAACACCGGUGGCGAAGGCGGCUACCUGGACCAAUAUUGACGCUGAGGUGCGAAAGCGUGGGGAGCAAACAGG